rnacentral:rRNA from 1 species
GACGAACGCUGGCGGCGUACUUAACACAUGCAAGUCGAACGGAAAGGCCCUGCUUUUGUGGGGUGCUCGAGUGGCGAACGGGUGAGUAACACGUGAGUAACCUGCCCUUGACUUUGGGAUAACUUCAGGAAACUGGGGCUAAUACCGGAUAGGAGCUCCUGCUGCAUGGUGGGGGUUGGAAAGUUUCGGCGGUGGGGGAUGGACUCGCGGCUUAUCAGCUGGUUGGUGGGGUAGUGGCUUACCAAGGCUUUGACGGGUAGCCGGCCUGAGAGGGUGGCCGGCGACAUUGGGCCUGCGAUACGGCCCAGACUCCUACGGGAGGCAGCGGUGGGGAAUAUUGCACAAUGGGCGGAAGCCUGAUGCAGCAACGCCGCGUGCGGGAUGACGGCCUUCGGGUUGUAAACCGCUUUCGCCUGUGACGAAGCGUGAGUGACGGUAAUGGGUAAAGAAGCACCGGCUAACUACGUG